rnacentral:rRNA from 1 species
UACGAAGGGUGCAAACGUUGCUCGGAAUUAUUGGGCGUAAAGCGCACGUAGGCGGCUUUGCAAGUCCCAUGUGAAAGCCCACGGCUUAACCGUGGAAGUGCAUGGGAAACUGCAGAGCUUGAGUACUUAAGAGGAUCGCGGAAUUCCCGGUGUAGAGGUGGAAUUCGUAGAUAUCGGGAGGAACACCAGUGGCGAAGGCGGCGAUCUGGGAAGAUACUGACGCUGAGGUGCGAAAGCGUGGGGAGCAAACAGG